rnacentral:lncRNA from 1 species
UGGUAAUUGCCAUGGCAGCAUCUUCACGCUUCCUUCUGCCCCCUCUUGAUUCCUCUGUCAUAUGUAUGUAUAUAAAGUUAGAACUUUGGUGGUGUUGGCAGUUUGUUUGCGUUUUGUUGCUGCUUCUGCUGCUUCGAGACCUGUGAGUGCUGCCUCGAGUGCCUCUGCUGCUGCUUCUGAUGGAUCAAGGCCGCAGGAAGAAGAAGAGCAGCACCGUGUGAGUGCAGGUGUUCGAAGCGUGUCGUGGCUUCCUGUGAUCAAUAAGGCACGGUGUGCCAUUUGAUAUGCUGCUUGUGAGAACUCUGCUCGAGUUCCUCGUGUAUAUGUUUGUACUGUGAUCUAUGCACUCCAGUGGGUGGUGUUGGAUUUGUUUAUUAGCACUAGAAGCCUCCGUAUCUUUCUACCGUCUCAUGUGAUUGCUUGAGAACUACGCUUCAGUUCCUCGUUAAUAUAUUAUGUUGGAUUUGUUUGUCAGCGUUCAUCCCUUUCUCCAUCAGUUUUGCUGAGUAGUUCAUCAGAUACUGCGUACACAAAUUGGAGAAGGAAGGAAAUCUUUGCAGAAGGUACAGAGUGCAGUAUUCGUCAAGGAGGAGGAAACAGUAGUCCAUCGAAAGGAGUUCAGCUCCCUGUCACUGCUCUUCCACGAUGAUGAUCCUCAUCUCUAUUAGUAUUAGGUUCGUGAAGAGGCCAGCAAGCAGGUUAAAAGAAAUGGAAUUGCCCACACAACAUGUCAGCUAGCAAAGAUCACAAAGAUACUAACAUAUCUUGUCAAAAGAUUAUGUAAAGAAAAAAUAUUUUUAUUAAAUCGAUGAUCAUAAGAACAAUCAUCCAAAGAUUAUGUAAAAUAAAAUAAAAAAUAAAGGUUUUUUUGAAGAAAAAUCAUCCAAAGAUUUCUGUCAAUUUUAAAUUUCAAAUUCUUCACAUGUUUUUUUCUUCUGAAAACAAACAGUCAAAAGACAAGUUAAAACCAGUCCAUUUCACCAAGUUGAAUAGACGACCAAAUUGAUUAGUGAAUCCGAUUUGACAACAUAGGUAAAGUCUCGAUUAUCGGAUCUCAUUAAGCAAUUAGUAGAGCACGACUCGUCGAUCCAUUCUGUAAAGAUCCGAGACCCAACUCGAUACCCGAUUUGUACCCGUAGUUUUCUUUCUCGGGUUCGUAUUUGGAUCCGAAAAUUCUGACAUCGGAGUCCAUUUAUCUUAAAGCGUACCGCUGAGUGCAACCAAAACAGCAGAUUCCAAUAUAACACACGACUCCCUCCUACCCAUCUCUUCCUUAUCACCAACACGAGAAAAGGAGGGAGGAGGGAGGACGUCUUCAACUUUUCCUUAUCUUCUUUUAUCACAUUCACGAGAGAAGAUGGUAGCGAUUCUCCAUCACGAGAUAUAUAUAUAUAUUAUAAUCUAAAGGGGUCGUUACAAAUCGAUCCAUCAUAGAGUCAGUCCAGGAAGGAAGUAUCUCAACCUGACUUAAUCUCUUCUUUAUCACGAGCACGAGAAAUGAGGGAAAGAGGAGAUGAGGGUUGAAGCAAAUAGCUCCAUUAGUCCUUAUCCUUACAAGACGCACUGCUAUAAAUAGCUCCAUGCAGCUCUCAGUUCCCAUCCCACCUCAGGCAGAGUCCUGCGUAGCAGUGGCUGUCCGUUUCCUCAAGUAAGAAUAUGAAUUUUAUUUAUUUAUUAUUUUUUAAUGAGCUUCUUAAUUCAUAAUAAGAAUAAAGAGGAGAACGAUGAUGGAGUGUAGAGAUCGAGGGAAGUCGGGCAGAAUAAACUCUCUAACCCGACCCGUUAACUUAAAAUGGAUUUAUGAUUUACUAUCAAAGACUUUUCCUGCAGUUGCUGUUGUAAUUAUGUUUCACUUAUUCUUGCGUUAUUAAUGCAUGAUGCAAUGAAUUCCAUGCAGAUAAGGUAAUUUGCACGUGGAAUCAUCGGAAGCUUCCUUCUCCACCGUUGCAAUGGAGCACCGCGGGCCACUCGUCCUCAAGUGCUGCGUUCUCUUCCUGUUGUUGAACGGUUUGGCAUUUCGUGUGAGCCAAGGCCAGCUUCUUCCCGUCGUCGAUGACCGAGGAGACAGCACGACGUCGUACCGCCUCAGGACUUACAUCGUCCAUGUCAAGAGGCCCGAAGGCGCACGUCUGCUCACCAGGCAUGAGCUUAAGCAGUGGCACGAGUCCUUCCUUCCCAACACCACUCUCGACUCCGGGAAGCGGCGGCUCAUCUACUCGUACCGCGAGGUCAUCAGUGGGUUCGCCGCGAAGCUGACGCCCGAGGAAGCGACGGCCAUGAGAUCCAUGGAGGGGUUCGUGUAUGCACGACUGGAGGUGACGCAUCGGAUCGCGACGACCCACACACCGCAGUUCCUGGGGCUGAGCCAGACGGGGGGGGCUUGGGACUCCGGGAACGAGGGCAAAGGCGUCGUCAUUGGGGUGCUAGACAGCGGGAUCUGGCCCCAUCCCUCCUUUGGCCACGACGGAAUGCCGGCUCCGCCGCAGAAGUUCAAAGGGUCUUGCAUCCCUUGGAGUGGUGUUACCUGCAACAACAAGAUCGUCGGGGCCAGGGGUUUUCUUGAAGGUGAAGAGGUCAUCGCCAUCGAUCACCAUGGCCAUGGGACGCAUGUGGCUGGCAUUGCAGCUGGCAACUUCGUCGAAGGUGCUGAGGUCCUUGGCAUGGCGGCCGGCAACGCCUCCGGGAUCGCACCCAAAGCUCACCUCUCCAUCUACAAGGUGUGCUUUGAUGACGUGGACUGCCCCGACUCUGGCAUUUUAGCUGCCAUCGAUCAAGCUAUCGAGGACAGGGUCGACAUACUGUCAAUGUCUUUGGGAACUACUGCCGCGACGAGCUACUAUUUCGAAGAUGCCGUUCAACUCGGCUCGCUCACAGCACUGCGUCACGGUAUCGUCCCCGUCACCACCGCCGGCAACGGAGGCCCCAUGUUCAACACACUGCACCAUGACGCGCCGUGGGUUUUGACCGUCGGCGCCACCUCUACUGACCGGAGAAUAAGAGCCAAGGUGAAGCUUGGAAACGGGGAGGAGUUCGCCGGCGAGUCUGCUUACCAACCUGACUCCUUCGAUUCAUCCAUCAUGCGCACCAUCGUGUACCCUGGCGAGGAUCACUGCUCCGCCGAAUCACUUAAGACCAUCGACGUGCGUGACAAGAUCGUUCUUUGUUCUGCUGGUCAAACAGAGGAGGUCGACAAGGGCAAGGCGGUCUCUGAAGCGGGAGGCGCCGCCAUGAUCAUCAUGAACCGAAAAAAGGAUGGUUACACUACCAGUGCCGAGGCUCACGUCCUCCCAGUAUCUCAUCUGAGCUACGAGGACGGAUCGAAAGUCCUUGCAUACUUCAAAUCACAGAAAAGCUCGAGCACAGCAACGAUCAUCUUCGGUGGCACGGUUUUGGAGCAGCGGCCAUCUCCGACCGUAGCUUCGUUUUCUUCCAGGGGACCGAACAAUGGCAACAUUCUCAAGCCGGACGUCCUCGCGCCUGGCGUGAACAUAUUAGCGGCAUGGCCAUUCAUGGUCGGACCUAAUGCUAGCGCAACCCCGUCGAACCCCACGUUCAACAUGAUAAGUGGCACCUCCAUGGCAGCUCCUCACGUCGCUGGCAUCGUGGCGCUGAUCAAGAACAGCCACCCAAACUGGAGUCCUUCCGCGAUCCAUUCAGCCAUCAUAACGUCCGCCAAGGACACAGACUCCGACGGCAACUACAUCAUCGACGAGCACACCAACGAAGCCGCC